UCCAUGGGGAAGCUCUGCCGGACAGACGCAUACUGAAGGUGGUGUGGGGAGCGGGGCAGGCCCCUUGCUGCCCCAGUUUGGAUGCUGCUGAAAGGGUGAGUGGUCCUGGGAUGCUACAGUGAAGGUGUCAGCUGGACUUUCCUUUGCAGAAGGAACAUCACAAACUCCAGCAAUCAGCAGGUUGUGCAUCUCAGAAGGAAAUGUUCACCACCACCAAAUGCAUGAGCAGAAAUGUAUGGCUUUGAGUUCAGGCUGCUGGGGUCGGACCCUUCACACAGUGACUGAAGGACAGCACUGAGACCUGGACCUGGAGUCCGAGCUCUCUUCUUCUGGCCGGGACACAGACCUUAGAGAUCAAAGGCUUUGCCA